rnacentral:rRNA from 1 species
AGCAGCCGCGGUAAUUCCAGCUCCAAUAGCGUAUAUUAAAGUUGUUGCAGUUAAAAAGCUCGUAGUUGAAUUUUAGGCUUGACCGGGCGGUCCGUCUCUGGCGAGUACUGUCCUGUUGUCGGGUCUAUCCUUCUGGUGAGCCGGUAUGUCCUUAAUUGGGUGUGUCGGGGAACCAGGACCAUUACCUUGAAAAAAAUUAGAGUGUUUAAAGCGGGCUUUUGCUUGAAUAGAUUAGCAUGGAAUAAUAGAAUAGGACGUUGGUUCUAUUUUGUUGGUCUAGGACCACCGUAAUGAUUAAUAGGGAUAGUUGGGGGCAUUAGUAUUCAAUUGUCAGAGGUGAAAUUCUUGGAUUUAUUGAAGACUAACUACUGCGAAAGCAUUUGCCAAGGAUGUUUUCAUUAAUCAAGAACGAAAGUUAGGGAUCGAAGACGAUCAGAUACCGUCGUAGUCUUAACCAUAAACUAUGCCGACUAGGAAUCGGGCGACGUUAUUUUCAUGACUCGCUCGGCGCCUUAUGGGA